rfam:Ixodes scapularis strain Wikel colony gcontig_1107728779914, whole genome shotgun sequence.
CCCUGGUUAGCUUGGUAGAGCGCUCCACCUGUAAUGGAGAGGUCCCGGGUUCGAUACCCGGACCAGGCA